CAGUCGCCGCGGGAAUACGUAGGGUGCGAGCGUUAAUCGGAAUUACUGGGCGUAAAGCGUGCGCAGGCGGUUUUGUAAGAUAGGCGUGAAAUCCCCGGGCUCAACCUGGGAAUGGCGCUUGUGACUGCAAAGCUAGAGUGCGGCAGAGGGGGAUGGAAUUCCGCGUGUAGCAGUGAAAUGCGUAGAUAUGCGGAGGAACGCCGAUGGCGAAGGCAAUCCCCUGGGCCUGCACUGACGCUCAUGCACGAAAGCGUGGGGAGCAAACAGGAUUAGAUACCCGGGUAGUCCCUGUCUCUUAUAC
rnacentral:rRNA from 1 species